UGAAUGAGUAACUGAGAUAAAGUUCUGAGCCAGUACACGCUUAAAAAUAGUGUGGACAAAAAACACGACACUUAGUGUAGCGUCUUUUUGGCUACACAAAUAGUGUACUUCAAGGCUACACUUGCGCGCUUUAAAGCCACACUUGUAAUUAUGAAAUUAAACUUCAUUAUAUGCGUAAAAAAAGCCACACUUAGUGUGCACUUUGUUGGAUUCUCGUAUCGAAUUAUUCGGAAAGGAGACUAGAAUCAUGUUUUUAGCGACAUGUUUUUUUUUAAGAACCAUUUUCAGUUUUACUGAAAAUUUUAGUUAACUUUUAUUGCUGCAUGGUAAUUUUAAACACAUACAUAGUUAACUUUUUCAUAAAAAAAUAUUUGGUUUGUAAUAUUUUAGUAAUAUCGUAUUAAAUAUGUUAAGCGAGGAAAAUAUCGAUUUUGCAGUUGUUAAAAAUUAGAAGAUGCAGCUUUUCUUGCAUUUAAGGCGCUCCCUUUUCUUAUGAUAGCACCUCCACAGAAGAGCAAGAAGAGUCCAAGAAUUAGGGUAUAUUUUAUAGAGAAAUGGAUGUAAGUUUUUUCUAUGCAUUUUUUUUUUAAGUUAAAUUUGGUUUAUAAUCAAAAAGUAUUACUUUUUUGAGCUUUGAAUUUUCUGCAUUUUUAAAAUUUUACUUAAACAUUUAGGUACACCUCAGUCUUGAAAGCUCCCUUGAGAAUUGAAGAAGGAGAAAGUUUUUCUACUGAUUUUAUUCAAGUGUUGCAGCACUCUAUUUAUAAUUCAAAUUAUAACUCUAAUUAUAAGUCGAUAAUACAGCUAUACGGUUGAAAGCCAUACCGAGUAUUAGAUUUGCUUUUGAGUUGCAGCUAGUCUCUUAUUAUGUAUUUAAUGUCAAUUUUCCUCAUGAACUUAUUUGUGUAUAUAGAUUUAUGGGAAAUUUGCUUGGAAUAAACAACAAAAGAAUUAUCGUCAAUUCCUUUUAAAGAAAGUAUUGCCAAAAGUUUAAGAUUAAAUUAAGCAAUAUGUUUGUGAAACGAAAAAGUAUUUUUAUCACUUUCUUGUUUAUUUUUGUUAUAUCGUCAGCCGAGAACCAAGAGACCGUAUGUCUUUUUUUUUGUGUUUCCAAGAAAAUCAAGUUUCAAAUUUUAAUUUGCAAAGUCUUCCAGAAAAUUCGACUGAUUAUUUAAAUAUUUCCUAAAAUUUUAUUGUUGUGGUAUAUUUAUGAAACACACACUCCUGAAUAUUUAUUGAUAAUGGACAAAAAAAAAAACACAAAAUGUUGAUAUACGAUUCUUCUCUGACGGCGGUAUCUAUUUUUCAAGGUUUUAACUCGCUUUUGCAUAUAAAUGUUUUAAGACUUGUUUUUAAUUUAGUAUUCACUGAAUUGAGUUUGAGUUUGAACUGAGUUUAUAUACUUAAAAGAAAUACUAUAACAAUGUAUUGACUCGGAAUUAAAAUAAAAUUUAUAUUUCAGUUUUUAUUAUUUUAUUGUGAUAUCGUUCCGUUAUUUCUUGUAAGCCAAUAUAAUAUACAUGUGUAAUUUAGUAUGACUCUAAAUGACAAUGUGUAAUUUAUUAUAUGAUAUAAAUAGCAUUCUUUA